rnacentral:snRNA from 1 species
UUGCUGCUGCACACAUACUAAGAUUGGAACGAAACAGAGAAAAUUAGCAUGGUCCCUGUGCAAGGAUGACACGCAAAUUUGUGAAGCAUUCCAUAAAAAA